GGGUUGUGAGGUUAAGCGACUAAGCGUACACGGUGGAUGCCCUGGCAGUCAGAGGCGAUGAAGGACGUGCUAAUCUGCGAUAAGCGUCGGUAAGGUGAUAUGAACCGUUAUAACCGGCGAUUUCCGAAUGGGGAAACCCAGUGUGUUUCGACACACUAUCAUUAACUGAAUCCAUAGGUUAAUGAGGCGAACCGGGGGAACUGAAACAUCUAAGUACCCCGAGGAAAAGAAAUCAACCGAGAUUCCCCCAGUAGCGGCGAGCGAACGGGGAGGAGCCCAGAGCCUGAAUCAGUGUGUGUGUUAGUGGAAGCGUCUGGAAAGGCGCGCGAUACAGGGUGACAGCCCCGUACACAAAAAUGCACAUACUGUGAGCUCGAUGAGUAGGGCGGGACACGUGGUAUCCUGUCUGAAUAUGGGGGGACCAUCCUCCAAGGCUAAAUACUCCUGACUGACCGAUAGUGAACCAGUACCGUGAGGGAAAGGCGAAAAGAACCCCGGCGAGGGGAGUGAAAAAGAACCUGAAACCGUGUACGUACAAGCAGUGGGAGCACGCUUAGGCGUGUGACUGCGUACCUUUUGUAUAAUGGGUCAGCGACUUAUAUUCUGUAGCAAGGUUAACCGAAUAGGGGAGCCGAAGGGAAACCGAGUCUUAACUGGGCGUUAAGUUGCAGGGUAUAGACCC
rnacentral:rRNA from 1 species